UAUUUCCUGAUUCUUGCUCUCCCGAGCACAAGAGGGCAGAGUGGCUGUGUGUCUUCUGAGCAGACCGGAACAGCCACUCCCUCUUUCCUCCUGCUUGCAGUGCCAGAGGAGUGCCUGGAGCUGGAGGACAGACAGCAAAUCGUAAGGUAGGAGAAGAGAGGCUUGCGGAAGGGGGCAGUGUAUUUAUUUGAGGAAGGGAGGGGGCCAAUGUAUUAGAGAUGUCCCCUCUAAGCACCACCUCGUCUGAGAUCACUUGUGAUAUGUUGGUCCAGCCUAAUGCUUCAGGACCUACAGCAAAUGGACAGCAAAUGCGUGACUCCUCCAAUACAAUGCUUCUGGAGAAACAUCAAUCAUAUGCUGCAGCUUCAUGCUGGCUGUAAUGACACAAUGUUAAAGUGACAAAAAAAAAGUACAGAUUUAAAUAGAAAUUGACACUUUUAUAGAUUAUACUGGUUACACUACUUUGGUUUUCAAGUAGAUAACCAGUCCUGCUACUUCCUGGUUUGGUUAGCUCAGUGGAGCUAAACUGAAGAGGCAGCAAUUGCACAGCGCAAAGCCUUCUCAUUGAGCUACACGGGGAAGUCUGUGAUUGGUCAGCCACAGAAAGUCUGGAUGGGGUUAGAAGACGGUUUGCGAAAGCAGUAGAUAAAAUAUCUGCAGGUUUUGCAAGCUGUUUUUACUUAUAUCCCCAAAUUAAUAAAUGCAUAAUUAAAAAC